UACGAAGGGGGCUAGCGUUGCUCGGAAUCACUGGGCGUAAAGCGCACGUAGGCGGCUUAGCAAGUCGGAUGUGAAAUCCCUCGGCUCAACCAAGGAAGUGCAUCCGAAACUGCUGAGCUUGAGUACGAAAGAGGAUCGCGGAAUUCCCGGUGUAGAGGUGAAAUUCGUAGAUAUCGGGAGGAACACCAGUGGCGAAGGCGGCGAUCUGGGUCGAUACUGACGCUGAGGUGCGAAAGCGUGGGGAGCAAACAGG
rnacentral:rRNA from 1 species